rnacentral:rRNA from 1 species
CAAUAGCGUAUAUUAAAGUUGUUGCAGUUAAAAAGCUCGUAGUUGGAUUUGUGGCUGUCACGGGCGGCCUAUCACUUAGUGUUAGUGCUUGCCUGUGUCGCCAUCCUUGGGUGGAGCCCGUGUGGCAUUAGGUUGUCGUGCGGGGGAUGCCCAUCGUUUACUGUGAGAAAAUUAGAGUGUUCAAAGCAGGCUUAUGCCAUUGAAUAUGUUAGCAUGGAAUAAUAAGAUAGGACCUCGGUACUAUUUUGUUGGUUUGCGCACCGAGGUAAUGAUUAAUAGGGACAGUUGGGGGUAUUCGUAUUUCAUUGUCAGAGGUGAAAUUCCUGGAUUUCUGAAAGACGAACUACUGCGAAAGCAUUUACCAAGGAUGUUUUCAUUAA